GGAAAGACGGAAAAAAGUGGAUAAGUGAGAGGAGAUGGUCCAAUGGUGACCCAGGGAGUCAAUGGAUGCUGAAAAUUAGCCCUCGUCACCAUCACCGAAACGGUAGGGUGUCCUUUAUAGUUUGCAAAUGAAAAUUAAUACUUUAUUUAUGCUGCUCAUCUAUCACAUAUGCAGUACUUAACAUCAUAAGAUAAAAUAUCCUGUUCUCGAACGGAACUUAAAGACAAAUCAAAUGCUAAAAGGGUUUUGAUGGAUGACAUUUGCCGAAAUCAAAAACCCUUUCAUGGGGAGGGAACAUGUUUAGAUGUAAAGUCCAUUGGUUUGAAUGGAGAAGAUAAUGACUACAUUACAAAGAUAAAAGAGUUAGAAGACCACCUUGACAUGGUGAAGAAGUUAGUGAAACCAGGUUGUUCGGAAGAAGUGGUGAACGUGGCCUUGAGUUCUAUGGCUUCCCUUGUUGAGAUCCUCACUUGUAUCUCCCCUACACCAAAACUCCAUGCCUCCCUGUGAUCAUAUUUUAGCAACUGGGUAUUUCACAUUUCAGAAGGACGAAUCAGAUUGUAAUGCCAUUGAUCUGAAAACAAAAUCACUCAUUUAUAAAGUUGUAUAUAUACUUGAUUCGAUGGAAUCACAAGAAAGUGAUUGGCAGGUACAUUUAUAAGUAGGGCGAACUACUUUGCUUUAGUUCCAGAGCUGUUGUAGCUUUGAGUCUCAAUGCGACGUGAAAUAUAAAUAAUUAUGGCUUAUGGUUGACGUGUCCAUUGGGCAUGGGCCUUUUGAACUGGA